UCCUAUGGGAGGCAGCAGUGGGGAAUUUUGGACAAUGGGGGCAACCCUGAUCCAGCCAUUCCGCGUGAGUGAAGAAGGCCUUCGGGUUGUAAAGCUCUUUCGCGAGGGAAGAAAACUUAUCCAUUAACACCGGGUGAGGCUGACGGUACCUUGAUAAGAAGCACCGGCUAACUACGUGCCAGCAGCCGCGGUAAUACGUAGGGUGCGAGCGUUAAUCGGAAUUACUGGGCGUAAAGCGUGCGCAGGCGGUUUGAUAAGUCAGAUGUGAAAGCCCCGGGCUCAACCUGGGAACUGCGUUUGAAACUAUCAGACUGGAGUAUGGCAGAGGGGGGUAGAAUUCCACGUGUAGCAGUGAAAUGCGUAGAGAUGUGGAGGAAUACCAAUGGCGAAGGCAGCCCCCUGGGUCAAUACUGACGCUCAUGCACGAAAGCGCGGGGAGCAAACAGGAUUAGAUACCCUGGUAGUCCACGCCCUAAACGAUGUCUACUAGUUGUUGGGAGAGUAAAAUCUCUUAGUAACGCAGCUAACGCGUGAAGUAGACCGCCUGGGGAGUACGGUCGCAAGAUUAAAACUCAAAGGAAUUGACGGGGGCCCGCACAAGCGGUGGAUUAUGUGGAUUAAUUCGAUGCAACGCGGAAAACCUUACCUGGCCUUGACAUGCUACUAACGAAGCAGAGAUGCAUUAGGUGCCCGAAAGGGAAAGUAGACACAGGUGCUGCAUGGCUGCCGUCAGCUCGUGUCGUGAGAUGUUGGGUUAAGUCCCGCAACGAGCGCAACCCUUGCCAAUAAUUGCCAUCAUUUAGUUGGGCACUUUAUUGGGACUGCCGGUGACAAACCGGAGGAAGGUGGGGACGACGUCAAGUCCUCAUGGCCCUUAUGGCCAGGGCUUCACACGUAAUACAAUGGUCGGUACAGAGGGUUGCCAACCCGCAAGGGGGAGCCAAUCCCAGAAAGCCGAUCGUAGUCCGGAUUGAGGUCUGCAACUCGACCUCAUGAAGUCGGAAUCGCUAGUAAUCGCGGAUCAGCAUGUCGCGGUGAAUACGUUCCCGGGCCUUGUACACACCGCCAU
rnacentral:rRNA from 1 species